GACAGAGGGUGCAAACGUUGUUCGGAAUUACUGGGCGUAAAGCGUGUGUAGGCGGCUACAUAAGUCGGAUGUGAAAGCCCCGGGCUCAACCCGGGAAGUGCACUCGAUACUGCGUAGCUUGAGUCUCGGAGAGGUUGGUGGAAUUCUCGGUGUAGAGGUGAAAUUCGUAGAUAUCGAGAGGAACACCGGUGGCGAAGGCGGCCAACUGGACGAAGACUGACGCUGAGACACGAAAGCGUGGGGGAGCAAACAGG
rnacentral:rRNA from 1 species